AUACAGGUUAUAAUCGGUAUAAUAUAUUAUGCUACGGAUAAGGUAAUAACAUAAUAUAGUAGGAUUAACUACAUAUGAAAAUAGUUGGAUUACAAGGUAAGACGUAUUAAAAAUACACAGUACCACAUUCACAAAAUGAGUUCAUUCAUAACAAUAUAAUACGUCGUGAAUCGAGAUACAAUAUACAAAACUAGUCAUAUUGUAAUAGAAUAUAUUUAUAACAGAGAGACGUACAAUCUUUCAAUUUUUUAACAUUUCCGUUGAAAAGGAUGCAAAAUUAAUCUAGAGAAGCGGCGGUUAGCCAACGUCAAGUACAAAUAUUCAAGGUUUUUCGAAUGAUUUGAAUAUUUUAAGUGAGUAGAAGUUACAGGUCGCUGUAAACUGUGACCUGUGUAUAUUUUAUACAUGCGUAAAUUGUAGCCCGGAUAUAUUUUGUAUAUAUGCUUAAAUAUUUUGUAUUCGUACGUAAAUUACGUCUAAGACUUUUUUUUAUAAAAUCGAUAUUUUUUCUCCUAUUUUUCAGACUUAGGACUGGCAAUAUAAUUGUAUGAACAAUAAAUAUUAAAAUAUUCAUAUUGUAAAAAAUAAGAAUUAGUAAUGAAGUGUAUCAGGUAAAAAUGCAUGUGAUUAAAAAUGUGUAUCAUAAAAAAAUAGUAAAAAUUGUAAGAUAAUGUAUUUUUUUUUCAAUUUAAUAAAAAUGAACGUAAUUAAAAACGAAGGAAUAAAACAUUAAAAGCAGGUAAUGUAUUCAAAUUUCGUUAUCAUAAAUUGCUAAAAUAUCAAUACAAUUAUAUUGCAAAUCCU